UACGUAGGAUGCAGGCGUUAAUCGGAAUUACUGGGCGUAAAGCGUGCGCAGGCGGCUUCCUAAGUCAGAUGUGAAAUCCCCGGGCUUAACCUGGGAACUGCCUUUGAAACUGUAAGGCUUGAGGCCGGGAGGGGGUAGCGGAAUUCCCAGUGUAGCGGUGAAAUGCGUAGAUAUUGGGAGGAACACCAGUGGCGAAGGCGGCUACCUGGACCGGUUCUGACGCUGAUGCGCGAAAGCGUGGGUAGCAAACAGG
rnacentral:rRNA from 1 species